UUUCGCAAUGCCCGAAAGGGUGACGAAGCGACGCCGCGUGGGUGAGGAAGGCCCUCGGGUUGUAAAGCCCUGUCAGGAGUUAAGAAAUGUAAGUGCGCUAAUACCGCAUUUAUUUGACGAAGGCUCCAAAGGAAGUCACGGCUAACUCUGUGCCAGCAGCCGCGGUAAUACAGAGGUGGCAAGCGUUGUUCGGAAUUAUUGGGCGUAAAGAGCACGUAGGUGGGUUUGUAAGUCAGAUGUGAAAGCCUUCUGUUCAACGGAAGAAUUGCAUCUGAAACUACGAGUCUUGAGUGUAGGAGGGGAGAAUGGAACUUCUGGUGGAGCGGUGAAAUGCGUAGAUAUCAGAAGGAACGCCGGCGGCGAAAGCGAUUCUCUGGCCCAUUACUGACACUCAGUGUGCGAAAGCUAGGGGAGCAAACGGGAUUAGAUACCCCGGUAGUCCUAGCCGUAAACGAUGGGCACUAAGUAGAGGGGUUUU
rnacentral:rRNA from 1 species